ensembl:lncRNA
CUCCUCCCCCAGUUCUGUCACUUUGGCACCAAGUUUUCAAAUUGCUUCAAUUUGGGGCACAUGCAAAAUAUGUUAACAUUAACUGGAUAAAGUUGUGCAGCUACUUUUGCCUGUAAUUGGUCCGUCAACAAAAUGGAGGUCCCUUUGAAAAACUGACCUCGACAAUCUGUCACAAAAUGGGACUAAACCCACCCACUUCACGAAACCAUGGUUUGGGUCAGAUUUUCUCCAAAAAGUGGGAUUGUCUGUGUCGGGUCUGUGCCUGGCCAGAGCCCUCAUUAGGGGUUUCGCCCUACACCUAAGUAAAGAGUCGCUUUCCUUGGGACUAGGGAGCAAUGGAGUUUCUCUCCCAGUCAAUAUCCAGGAGGGAGGCGGCGAAGAAUUACUGAGUUCCCUAUUGGGGAACUAGUUCUCCAUCACAGGGACCAGAAUCCGUGCGAAUGAGAAGGCAGCUAGUGGCUCCGCAGUGCGCCGGGCCCAUGGGGGACCUCGGCUGCAAAGCAAAGGUCUUUCAGGUUAAGCCCGACAAACCCAAGGUUUCUAGUCUAGGGUAAAUCAACAAAAAUGCCCGAUCUCUCGUCUUUCUACCUGCCGGCCCGACCCCGCCUCGUCCCAUUGGUAGCAGCUCCCGCCAAUCGUCGGAAUCACCGCCUUCAGGCCCGCCCACCGGCCCCAGAUUGGUGUGGAAAGAAGAGCGGGGGACCUCGUGCUACCAAUCUCCGGCUCCCCUACGGCCGUCUAGCGCACUAGGCAGGUCGAGGGCUAGAUGCCGCUCGCUCGCUCCGCUCCCCUCCCCCCUUCUCCACGCACUUCCCACCCCCGUCCCGGUUCCUUACGCCCGUCCCCGGGGCUCUGGCUUGUGGCUUACCGUCCCGAGAAGUGCCCAUCAGCUGGUCCAGCAUAGCACGCAUCUGGGCCUGCGCCGACAUGGCGGCGGCGGCAGCAGCAGCGGCGUAGUGAGCGAGCAAUCGGGAGGGGCACCAGAGGCAUCACUUUCAUGGUUUCUUUCACCUGACCAAAGACCAUGUAUUUUCCAUCCCACCACUGAGUCUUUACAGUAGAGAAGAAAAGCCACUGAACCAUUCGUGUUGGGACAAAGUGAAUGAACCUGUUUACUUCAGGAUGAAGUUCAAAUUUUUCCCUUAAGAUUGACUUGCCACCAGUGCUAUCAUAGCCCUGCUGUGAGUUGCUACUCUGGUGCAUAAGCCUAAGAAAGAUUCUGUGAAAGCUGGAGUCCUUGUAACAAAAUUCAUCCUCACCAUAUUAAGAGCAUUUAAAUUUCCUGCUGCUUUUGAAACUUUGUCAAUAGAGACCUCAAAAGUGACGGAGCCCAGGGACAAGGUGAGAGAGAUGGGCCAUGGUUAGAGAGAGUUUGUUCUGAAAACAGCAGUGACUAUUGCCUCCCUUGUUCUGAACAUUAUACAGAAGUAUUAGUGCAACCAAAGAUAAGCUGCCAUAUCACACUGCUGGCUCUUUCUGAACAUGUAAGUCUCAUAGUUCUUUAGUAUUUGUAGGAUUUAUAGCUUGAAGGAACUUUAAAGAUCACUGGUCCAAACACUUGCUUUGUAUUACAGAUAAAGAAACUGAGACCCAGAGACUUGCCUAAGGUCACAGAUAACACAUAGCUGAGCUAAGAUUUGAACACAGGGCUCAUUCCACAAAAUGAGUAUUUGCUUCUCUUCUAAACAUUAAACUAGAUGCUUUCCCUUCCUCUUUCCCUUAUCUUAUGCUGUGACUUCUGAGUGGAAACUGGAAGUACUGUCAGGCCCAGGAACCUCUGGCUCUUAUUGGCUUGUUCCUCUCAGAACCCCAAUUUUAAGGUUAGGUUGGUAACAUGUAGGUCCAUUCUUCUUUUAUUUUAUAUGUGAAUGUAAGCUCCUCGAGAGCAAAGCUUGUUUAUUAACUAACACCAGUGCUGAAUUAAAUAAAAGUAUUUAAUUAUAAUGCA